UACGUAGGUGGCAAGCGUUAUCCGGAUUUACUGGGCGUAAAGAGGGUGUAGGUGGUUUUUCAAGUCGGAUGUGAAAUCUCCCGGCUUAACUGGGAGGGAGCAUUCGAUACUGUUAGGCUAGAGAGCAGCAGAGGGAGGUGGAAUUCCCGGUGGAGUGGUGAUAUGCGUAGAUAUCGGGAGGAACACCAGUGGCGAAGGCGGCCUCCUGGGCUGUUUCUGACACUGAGACCCAAAAGCGUGGGGAGCAAACAGGAUUAGAUACCCCGGUA
rnacentral:rRNA from 1 species